UUAAGCGACUAAGCGUACACGGUGGAUGCCCUGGCAGUCAGAGGCGAUGAAGGACGUGCUAAUCUGCGAAAAGCGUCGGUAAGGUGAUAUGAACCGUUAUAACCGGCGAUGUCCGAAUGGGGAAACCCAGUGUGAUUCGUCACACUAUCGUUAACUGAAUACAUAGGUUAACGAGGCGAACCGGGGGAACUGAAACAUCUAAGUACCCCGAGGAAAAGAAAUCAACCGAGAUUCCCCCAGUAGCGGCGAGCGAACGGGGAGCAGCCCAGAGUCUGAAUCAGCUUGUGUGUUAGUGGAACGGUCUGGAAAGUCCGACGGUACAGGGUGAUAGUCCCGUACACCAAAAUGCACAGGCUGUGAACUCGAAGAGUAGGGCGGGACACGUGGUAUCCUGUCUGAAUAUGGGGGGACCAUCCUCCAAGGCUAAAUACUCCUGACUGACCGAUAGUGAACCAGUACCGUGAGGGAAAGGCGAAAAGAACCCCGGCGAGGGGAGUGAAAAAGAACCUGAAACCGUGUACGUACAAGCAGUGGGAGCACCUUCGGGUGUGACUGCGUACCUUUUGUAUAAUGGGUCAGCGACUUAUAUUCUGUAGCAAGGUUAACCGUAUAGGGGAGCCGCAGGGAAACCGAGUCUUAACUGGGCGUUAAGUUGCAGGGUAUAGACCCGAAACCCGGUGAUCUAGCCAUGGGCAGGUUGAAGGUUGGGUAACACUAACUGGAGGACCGAACCGACUAAUGUUGAAAAAUUAGCGGAUGACUUGUGGCUGGGGGUGAAAGGCCAAUCAAACCGGGAGAUAGCUGGUUCUCCCCGAAAGCUAUUUAGGUAGCGCCUCGUGAAUUCAUCUUCGGGGGUAGAGCACUGUUUCGGCUAGGGGGUCAUCCCGACUUACCAACCCGAUGCAAACUACGAAUACCGAAGAAUGUUAUCACGGGAGACACACGGCGGGUGCUAACGUCCGUCGUGAAGAGGGAAACAACCCAGACCGCCAGCUAAGGUCCCAAAGUCAUGGUUAAGUGGGAAACGAUGUGGGAAGGCACAGACAGCCAGGAUGUUGGCUUAGAAGCAGCCAUCAUUUAAAGAAAGCGUAAUAGCUCACUGGUCGAGUCGGCCUGCGCGGAAGAUGUAACGGGGCUAAACCAUGCACCGAAGCUGCGGCAGCGACACUAUGUGUUGUUGGGUAGGGGAGCGUUCUGUAAGCCUGCGAAGGUGACCUGUGAGGGUUGCUGGAGGUAUCAGAAGUGCGAAUGCUGACAUAAGUAACGAUAAAGCGGGUGAAAAGCCCGCUCGCCGGAAGACCAAGGGUUCCUGUCCAACGUUAAUCGGGGCAGGGUGAGUCGACCCCUAAGGCGAGGCCGAAAGGCGUAGUCGAUGGGAAACAGGUUAAUAUUCCUGUACUUGGUGUUACUGCGAAGGGGGGACGGAGAAGGCUAUGUUAGCCGGGCGACGGUUGUCCCGGUUUAAGCAUGUAGGCUGGUUGUCCAGGCAAAUCCGGAUAAUCAAGGCUGAGGUGUGAUGACGAGGCACUACGGUGCUGAAGUAACAAAUGCCCUGCUUCCAGGAAAAGCCUCUAAGCAUCAGGUAACAUCAAAUCGUACCCCAAACCGACACAGGUGGUCAGGUAGAGAAUACCAAGGCGCUUGAGAGAACUCGGGUGAAGGAACUAGGCAAAAUGGUGCCGUAACUUCGGGAGAAGGCACGCUGGUGUGUAGGUGAAGUCCCUGCGGAUGGAGCUGAGACCAGUCGAAGAUACCAGCUGGCUGCAACUGUUUAUUAAAAACACAGCACUGUGCAAACACGAAAGUGGACGUAUACGGUGUGACGCCUGCCCGGUGCCGGAAGGUUAAUUGAUGGGGUUAUCCGUAAGGAGAAGCUCUUGAUCGAAGCCCCGGUAAACGGCGGCCGUAACUAUAACGGUCCUAAGGUAGCGAAAUUCCUUGUCGGGUAAGUUCCGACCUGCACGAAUGGCGUAAUGAUGGCCAGGCUGUCUCCACCCGAGACUCAGUGAAAUUGAACUCGCUGUGAAGAUGCAGUGUACCCGCGGCAAGACGGAAAGACCCCGUGAACCUUUACUAUAGCUUGACACUGAACAUUGAGCCUUGAUGUGUAGGAUAGGUGGGAGGCUUUGAAGCGUGGACGCCAGUCUGCGUGGAGCCAACCUUGAAAUACCACCCUUUAAUGUUUGAUGUUCUAACGUUGGCCCCUUAUCGGGGUUGCGGACAGUGUCUGGUGGGUAGUUUGACUGGGGCGGUCUCCUCCCAAAGCGUAACGGAGGAGCACGAAGGUUAGCUAAUCCUGGUCGGACAUCAGGAGGUUAGUGCAAUGGCAUAAGCUAGCUUGACUGCGAGCGUGACGGCGCGAGCAGGUGCGAAAGCAGGUCAUAGUGAUCCGGUGGUUCUGAAUGGAAGGGCCAUCGCUCAACGGAUAAAAGGUACUCCGGGGAUAACAGGCUGAUACCGCCCAAGAGUUCAUAUCGACGGCGGUGUUUGGCACCUCGAUGUCGGCUCAUCACAUCCUGGGGCUGAAGUAGGUCCCAAGGGUAUGGCUGUUCGCCAUUUAAAGUGGUACGCGAGCUGGGUUUAGAACGUCGUGAGACAGUUCGGUCCCUAUCUGCCGUGGGCGCUGGAGAAUUGAGGGGGGCUGCUCCUAGUACGAGAGGACCGGAGUGGACGCAUCACUGGUGUUCGGGUUGUCAUGCCAAUGGCACUGCCCGGUAGCUAAAUGCGGAAGAGAUAAGUGCUGAAAGCAUCUAAGCACGAAACUUGCCCCGAGAUGAGUUCUCCCUGAGACUUUAAGUCUCCUGAAGGAACGUUAAAGACGAUGACGUUGAUAGGCCGGGUGUGUAAGCGCAGCGAUGCGUUGAGCUAACCGGUACUAAUGAACCGUGAGGCUUAACCUU
rnacentral:rRNA from 1 species